rnacentral:rRNA from 1 species
AUUGAACGCUGGCGGCAGGCUUAACACAUGCAAGUCGAGCGGAGAUGAGGUGCUUGCACCUUAUCUUAGCGGCGGACGGGUGAGUAAUGCUUAGGAAUCUGCCUAUUAGUGGGGGACAACAUUCCGAAAGGAAUGCUAAUACCGCAUACGUCCUACGGGAGAAAGCAGGGGAUCUUCGGACCUUGCGCUAAUAGAUGAGCCUAAGUCGGAUUAGCUAGUUGGUGGGGUAAAGGCCUACCAAGGCGACGAUCUGUAGCGGGUAUGAGAGGAUGAUCCGCCACACUGGGACUGAGACACGGCCCAGACUCCUACGAGAGGCAGCAGUGGGGAAUAUUGGACAAUGGGGGGAACCCUGAUCCAGCCAUGCCGCGUGUGUGAAGAAGGCCUUAUGGUUGUAAAGCACUUUAAGCGGGGAGGAGGCUACUGAGACUAAUACUCUUGGAUAGUGGACGUUACUCGCAGAAUAAGCACCGGCUAACUCUGUGCCAGCCGCCGCCGUAACAC